CGACCAGGCCGGGCCCCUCUGGCAGCCGUAUGGCUGCGAUGUCGGACUGGAAUU
rnacentral:ncRNA from 1 species